rnacentral:rRNA from 1 species
CGCAGCCGCGGUAAUUCCAGCUCCAAUAGCGUAUAUUAAAGUUGUUGCAGUUAAAAAGCUCGUAGUUGAAUUUCGGGAUUGACGUGAUGGUCAUGCCUUAAGGGGUAUGAACUGUUACUGUUGAUUUCUCACCUUCUGGAGAAACUUGAUGUCCUUUAUUGGGUGUCUUGCGGAUCCAGGACCUUUACCUUGAAAAAUUAGAGUGUUUAAAGCAGGCAUUUUUCGCUCGAAUACAUUAGCAUGGAAUAAUAGAAUAGGACGGCAUGGCUCUAUUUUGUUGGUUUCUAGGAUCACCGUAAUGAUUAAUAGGGAUAGUUGGGGGCAUUAGUAUUCAAUUGUCAGAGGUGAAAUUCUUGGAUUUAUUGAAGACUAACUACUGCGAAAGCAUUUGCCAAGGAUGUUUUCAUUAAUCAAGAACGAAAGUUAGGGGAUCGAAGACGGUCAGAUACCGUCGUAGUCUUAACCAUAAACUAUGCCGACUAGGAAUCAGACGAUGUUAAUUUUUUCAAUGGCUCGUUUG